UGAGGAAUAUUGGACAAUGGGUGAGAGCCUGAUCCAGCCAUCCCGCGUGAAGGACGACGGCUCUAUGGGUUGUAAACUUCUUUUGUAUAGGGAUAAACCUUUCCACGUGUGGAAAGCUGAAGGUACUAUACGAAUAAGCACCGGCUAACUCCGUGCCAGCAGCCGCGGUAAUACGGAGGGUGCAAGCGUUAUCCGGAUUUAUUGGGUUUAAAGGGUCCGUAGGCGGGCUCGUAAGUCAGUGGUGAAAUCUCAUAGCUUAACUAUGAAACUGCCAUUGAUACUGCGAGCCUUGAGUAGGUAGAGGUAGCUGGAAUAAGUAGUGUAGCGGUGAAAUGCAUAGAUAUUACUUAGAACACCAAUUGCGAAGGCAGGUUACCAUGAUUUAACUGACGCUGAGGGACGAAAGCGUGGGGAGCGAACA
rnacentral:rRNA from 1 species